rnacentral:rRNA from 1 species
UACGUAGGGUGCAAGCGUUGUCCGGAAUUAUUGGGCGUAAAGAGCUCGUAGGCGGCUUGUCGCGUCGGCUGUGAAAACCUGGGGCUCAACCCCGGGCCUGCAGCCGAUACGGGCAAGCUAGAAUUCGGUAGGGGAGACUGGAAUUCCUGGUGUAGCGGUGAAAUGCGUAGAUAUCAGGAGGAACACCUGCGGUGUAGACGGCUUACUGGACCAUAACUGACGCUGAGGCACGAAAGCGUGGGUAGCAAACAGG